rnacentral:rRNA from 2 species
UGGGGAAUAUUGCACAAUGGGGGAAACCCUGAUGCAGCGACGCCGCGUGAGUGAAGAAGUAUUUCGGUAUGUAAAGCUCUAUCAGCAGGGAAGAUAAUGACGGUACCUGACUAAGAAGCCCCGGCUAACUACGUGCCAGCAGCCGCGGUAAUACGUAGGGGGCAAGCGUUAUCCGGAUUUACUGGGUGUAAAGGGAGCGUAGGCGGCUAGGCAAGUCAGAUGUGAAAGCCCAGGGCUCAACCCUGGGACUGCAUUUGAAACUGCAUAGCUAGAGUGCAGGAGAGGUAAGUGGAAUUCCUAGUGUAGCGGUGAAAUGCGUAGAGAUUGGGAAGAACACCAGUGGCGAAGGCGACUUACUGGGCCGCAACUGACGCUGAGGAGCGAAAGCAUGGGGAGCGAACAGG